UGGAUGACCGGGAAGAUGCCAUCGGAAGGCCCAAUUGCUUGUCCCGAUCUGCCUGGUAGCUACCCCAGCGCAGCUCAUCAGCUAGUCAACGAAAAGAAUUGCGAAAACACCGGUGGAGCUGAUAUAAAGGGCUGUUCCGCGGGUUCGUCAACAGUGGACCGUCCAUGACGGCUCACUUACCUCCGGUAACAGGAGCUUGGAAAACGGGUAUGACCACACGUCGUUUCACGGCUUACAACGUUAGACCGGCAUCACGCAUACCGCAGAAAACCAGCAUGAAUGCUUCGCUUCCAGCAACGAUGGAAAAAAUAAAAUCCUGGAAAUAAAUCGAGAAUGGAUGGCAACCCAGACGGAACUCAUUUGCGACUAUUUGGGAACGAUGACGGAUUUUCCGCAAGAAUUUUCUGGAAAGCGCUAUUUGAAGGUCACAUGACCAUCAAUCAAUCAAUCAUCACCACAAACCAGCUGCAUUAACAGGUCGAACAGCAUUAUGAAAAAUCAACAGCAACCCUGGGCGGUAACGGUAAUGACCGCGACGGACCAAUGUUCCUUUAUAAAACAGUAUCAUCGGCAAUGGAUGCCCGGCUAGAGAUUUGACGAGAAAUUUUUUUUCGAAAAUAUUAGCCUGGAAAACUACCUUCAAUCUCAUCGCUGUCCUCUGACAUGUAGCCAUAACGGACGCUGUGAACACCAACCAAGUAGAGUUAGCUCCCUGGCCAGAAUCCAACCAUGGUCCGGUGUGGAAUAUCAAUAACGACUAGAGACUAACAUCCUGCAAUUAUGGUUAACAUUGAAUGGGAAACCCUCGAUCAAGUUGCGGGUAGCAACGCUACAGGCUUCAAUGCUUAUUCGUUCCCGAAGAAUCCCUUGGGUGAUCGAGCAGAGUACGGGCUAUUGAAAGCAACUCAUUCGAACAUCAAACUACGAGCAUGGUGUCUCGGCUUGCAAUGUCUGAUCCUUGCCUGCCAACAGCCUUUUGAAGCGAAUUCCACUUAAACGGAUAAUCACUCCCGAAAGAUGAGCCAUCUGAUAGUGAAUGACGACAAUUUUGAAAAAAGCUGUUACGCUUUUUUUCAGGAGCUGAUCAGUCGAUCUCUUCUCUGAAUAGUAUC